rnacentral:sRNA from 1 species
UUUAGAUUGUCCACAUGGUUUGCAAGCAUGGAAGUCACAUCUCCCUCCUUCCCUGCCAUCAGCCCUCCAGCUGCCUGACCUCCCUGGGGAAUGCCAGUGUUAAAGCACUCCUAUUGCUUCCCGAGCCUUAGAUUGUUCUGUGAAGUCACCAAAGCCGCCAUUCUGGCCUCCCUUGGAUAAAUGGGGCAAAUGAGACUCCGGGAGAGGAAUGGCUUUGUCUGUAGGUGCACAGCAUGUCAGUGACAUGCCGUGCCUGGAACCCAGGUCUCCUGACUGGGAGGUCCCAGCUCUCGCCGUUGCUCUAAUCCAGGCCAGGUCCUACUGUGCUGACAGAAUGUCGGCUGUUGGGCGGUAGUAUCCAUGCUGCCCUCUAACCACAGAGGCUGUCUGUGUCAUGUGACUCAAUGCACCCGUCAGUGGUCUGUGAUGAGUGGGUGGGAGGAUAUUUUGGCUGGCCUCUGGCCCACUUGUCCACGUCUGUCCUGGUGUGUCAGUGGCUGGCUUGUGACCUGGCAUGUCCAUGGCAGGUGUGGAAGGAGAGCCUCUAGUGAGUUCCCAGAGUGGACAGAGCCCUCCAGAGCCACAGGAUCCCGAGGCUCCCAGCUCCUCAGGCCCAGGACACCUGGUGGCCUUGGGCAAGGUGAGCAGGACCCCUGUGGAAGCUGGUGUGAGCCAGUCAGAUGCAGAGAACGCAGCCCCCUCCUGCCCGGAUGAGCACGACACUCUGCCCCGGCGCCGAGGUCGACCUUCCAGGCGCUUCCUAGGCAAGAAAUACCGCAAGUAUGUGGAGCAGAGGUGAGGGUGGGGCAUGCAUGUGGUUAAGCCACCAACCCCACCAGACCUUUCCGCCACACUCUCAUCCUGCAGGUACUAUUACAAGUCGCCCAAACCACUUUUGAGGCCCUUCCUGUGCCGCAUCUGUGGUUCUCGCUUUCUGUCCCACGAGGACCUGCGCUUCCACGUCAACUCCCAUGAGGCUGGCGAUCCCCAGCUCUUCAAGUGCCUGCAGUGCAGCUAUCGUUCCCGCCGCUGGUCCUCGCUCAAGGAGCACAUGUUCAACCACGUGGGCAGCAAGCCCUACAAGUGUGACGAGUGCAGCUACACCAGUGUCUACCGGAAGGACGUCAUUCGGCACGCCGCUGUGCACAGCCGGGACCGGUCAGUGUGGGGGUGGGAGGGACCUGGGCAAGAGAGGCCAGGUUGGGUGGGGAAGUGGAGGCCCGGGAUAACCAUGGUUCCCACUUACCGCGCUCCUGCUCUGAGCCAGCCCCAUUUGCUGCACACUACAGGCAUGAGCAGAAAGGCAGUUCACCCCAGUUCAUUUGGCUUAGAACAGGACAGCAGGCCUUGAGGUCCCCAGCUCAGCCUCUUACCUCUUGUGAGCUUUAGUUUCUCAUCAAACGGGGACAGUUGUUGAGGGGAUUGAAGGAAAUUGUGUACCUAAAGGAGUUCAGUAAAUGAUCCAAGAUCUUCUGGACUCCAGAUCCUACUCAUCUCUCACAGGGCUGAGAGUGCACCUGAGACAGAGAAACACAAGUUCUUAUGCACCUAAUGAUUGCUCACAGGAUUAUAAUUCGAUCCCGAGCUUCAGGAAGGAGUUCGCUUCAUGAGAGGUGGUGUGUGAGCAGAGGUUGGAGACAGAUCCCCUGGGACAGUAGCUCCAGCUGUGUGUGUGGAAAAGCCAGCCCAAGAUACUUUAAGGUUUCUUUUUUUUAAAUG